UACGGAGGGUGCGAGCGUUAUUCGGAAUUAUUGGGCGUAAAGGGCGCGUAGGCGGCGCGAUAAGUCAAAGGUGAAAUCCCUCGGCUCAACUGAGGAACUGCCUUUGAAACUGUCGUGCUUGAGGCCGGGAGGGGGUAGCGGAAUUCCCAGUGUAGCGGUGAAAUGCGUAGAUAUCAAGAGGAACACCUGAGGUGAAGACGGGUUGCUGGGCUGACACUGACGCUGAGGCGCGAAAGCUAGGGUAGCAAACGGG
rnacentral:rRNA from 1 species